GACGAACCGUGCGAAUGUUGUUCGGAAUCACUGGGCUUAAAGGGAGCGUAGGCGGGCUAUCAAGUCUGGGGUGAAAUGCCGCGGCUCAACCGUAGAACUGCCUUAGAUACUGACGGCCUCGAGGGAGAUAGGGGCAUGCGGAACUGUAGGUGGAGCGGUGAAAUGCGUUGAUAUCUACAGGAACUCCGGUGGCGAAAGCGGCGUGCUGGAUCUCUUCUGACGCUGAGGCUCGAAAGCUAGGGGAGCAAACGGG
rnacentral:rRNA from 1 species